rnacentral:tmRNA from 1 species
GGGGGUGACUGGUAUCGACAGGAAAGUGGAUCGGUUAGUAAGCAUGUCGGAGCAAGGUUGUUCACUCCGUUAUCAAAUGAUAAUCAAACCAUAAAUGGCGAUAAUAACUUCGCAUUGGCUGCGUAAUCUAGGAUUAUAAUGCCUUUUGAGCCGCCCGAUUGACGUCCGAUACACAUCGGUUGCCGCUCAUCAACAGCUCGCGGACUUAGGGGAUUGGGGUGUUUUGACCAUGAACUGAAGAUUAAUCAAAACUAAGGAUCAGGUGCAUGGGCUUCUGUUUAUAUCUGAUUCCGACAAUCUAAACAGAAGAUAAGCAUGUAGAAAGCUCUCAGGUGCUUUGUCUGGACCAGGGUUCGAAACCCUGCACCUCCACAC